rnacentral:misc_RNA from 1 species
UCUCCGUUGGUGAACCAGCGGAGGGAUCAUUACAGGAUCGAAAGACUCCCAUAACCCCUGUGAACUUACUACAAAUACGUUGCUUCGGCGGGUGCCCCGGGUCUCCCGGGGCGUUCAGCCCGCCGGCAGCCUUCAAAUUCUGUUUCUUUGCGUUGGCAUCUCGAGUAUACAAAAAUAAGUUAAAACUUUCAACAACGGAUCUCUUGGUUCUG